GAUGAACGCUGGCGGCGUGCCUAAUACAUGCAAGUCGAGCGAACGGACGAGAAGCUUGCUUUUCUGAUGUUAGCGGCGGACGGGUGAGUAACACGUGGAUAACCUACCUAUAAGACUGGGAUAACUUCGGGAAACCGGAGCUAAUACCGGAUAAUAUUUUGAACCGCAUGGUGCAAAAGUGAAAGACGGUCUUGCUGUCACUUAUAGAUGGAUCCGCGCUGCAUUAGCUAGUUGGUAAGGUAACGGCCUACCAAGGCAACGAUGCAUAGCCGACCUGAGAGGGUGAUCAGCCACACUGGAACUGAGACACGGUCCAGACUCCUACGGGAGGCAGCAGUAGGGAAUCUUCCGCAAUGGGCGAAAGCCUGACGGAGCAACGCCGCGUGAGUGAUGAAGGUCUUCGGAUUGUAAAGCUCUGUUAUUAGGGAAGAACAGAUGUGUAAGUAACUGUGCACAUCUUGACGGUACCUAAUCAGAAAGCCACGGCUAACUACGUG
rnacentral:rRNA from 1 species